rnacentral:rRNA from 1 species
GACGAACGCUGGCGGCGUGCUUAACACAUGCAAGUCGAACGGAAAGGCCCUGCUUUUGUGGGGUGCUCGAGUGGCGAACGGGUGAGUAACACGUGAGUAACCUGCCCUUGACUUUGGGAUAACUUCAGGAAACUGGGGCCAAUACCGGAUAGGAGCUCCUGCUGCAUGGUGGGGGUUGGAAAAUUUCGGCGGUUGGGGAUGGACUCGCGGCUUAUCAGCUCGUUGGUGGGGUAGUGGCUUACCAAGGCUUUGACGGGUAGCCGGCCUGAGAGGGUGACCGGCCACAUUGGGACUGAGAUACGGCCCAGACUCCUACGGGAGGCAGCAGUGGGGAAUAUUGCACAAUGGGCUGAAGCCUGAUGCAGCAACGCCGCGUGCGGGAUGACGGCCUUCGGGUUGUAAACCGCUUUCGCCUGUGACGAAGCGUGAGUGACGGUAAUGGGUAAAGAAGCACCGGCUAACUACGUG